rnacentral:rRNA from 1 species
UGGGGAAUAUUGGACAAUGGGCGGAAGCCUGAUCCAGCCAUGCCGCGUGUGUGAAGAAGGCCUUUUGGUUGUAAAGCACUUUAAGCGAGGAGGAGGCUACUUGGAUUAAUACUCUAGGAUAGUGGACGUUACUCGCAGAAUAAGCACCGGCUAACUCUGUGCCAGCAGCCGCGGUAAUACAGAGGGUUCGAGCGUUAAUCGGAUUUACUGGGCGUAAAGCGUGCGUAGGCGGCUUCUUAAGUCGGAUGUGAAAUCCCUGAGCUUAACUUAGGAAUUGCAUUCGAUACUGGGAAGCUAGAGUAUGGGAGAGGAUGGUAGAAUUCCAGGUGUAGCGGUGAAAUGCGUAGAGAUCUGGAGGAAUACCGAUGGCGAAGGCAGCCAUCUGGCCUAAUACUGACGCUGAGGUACGAAAGCAUGGGGAGCAAACAGG